rnacentral:tRNA from 1 species
GUCCUUGUAGCUUAUCCAAAGCAUGACGCUGAAGACGUCAAGAUGGCCGCUAUACGCACCCAAGGACA